ACGCUCGACACCUACGGGGAGGCGGCAGUGGGGAAUAUUGCACAAUGGGGGAAACCCUGAUGCAGCAACGCCGCGUGAAGGAAGACGGUUUUCGGAUUGUAAACUUCUGUUCUUAGUGAAGAUAGUGACGGUAGCUAAGGAGCAAGCCACGGCUAACUACGUGCCAGCAGCCGCGGUAAUCUGAGCGGGCUGGCAAGGC
rnacentral:rRNA from 1 species